rnacentral:ribozyme from 1 species
AGCAACAAAAAAUAACGGAAACCAAGAAAGCCGCCUCUCCUUGUCCGUGUCAUCGCUUGCCUUCCCAUCUGGGAGAAUUUUUCUUUCCUGCUUCUUUACAAUAUUUCGCUAUUAUUAACGCCAGCGCCUAAUCCUGGAGCGCUCGAAACUGCCUUGAAGAGCGGAAGAUAAAAAAACGCUUAGUUUUACAACGAUUAGAAAUUUUACAAAAAAAAAAAAAAA